UACGUAGGGCGCAAGCGUUGUCCGGAAUUAUUGGGCGUAAAGAGCUCGUAGGCGGUUUGUCGCGUCUGUCGUGAAAGCUUGGGGCUUAACCCUAAGUCUGCGGUGGGUACGGGCAGACUAGAGUGAUGUAGGGGAGACUGGAAUUCCUGGUGUAGCGGUGAAAUGCGCAGAUAUCAGGAGGAACACCGAUGGCGAAGGCAGGUCUCUGGGCAUUAACUGACGCUGAGGAGCGAAAGCAUGGGGAGCGAACAGG
rnacentral:rRNA from 1 species